AUUGCACUGCAAAUUACCAUAAUCAGAAUUCAUCAGGUCAUGUACGUACUACAUAACAUUUACUUAGGAUAUGAAAUGGUGAGAUCGAUAAAUUCGAAAUCAUCAUUAUAUUGUUGUUCUUAUUACAUUAAUAUAGAUAUAUGUAGCCACUAUAUAUACCUAUUAGAGUGAAUACGAUACCAAUGCCCCACAAUUUGUUGUCCUGACACAAUCGACCGGAUUCGCUGCGUUGUAGUCAAAACAGAUGACGACUUCCUGCAGAUACGCGAUCCCCCCGUCCUUCUUGCACAUAAGAAGAGGUGUUUUCCCUCCUAUAGUCCGUCGAAUGGCCGAUUCAAGGUCGAUGUAAUGAUAUUGAUAUCCUGGUACAAUCCCAGUUGUUUGAGAAAAUAGAUGUUGUGCAUUGUAGGUCAACCAUAAUCUAUGAGCUUCGUGGAAGUAUUGUGUCUGGGAAAAUUUAUUGUCCGAGCACCUGCCGUGCUUGUUGUACUCAUGCGCCCAGAAAUCCAUAUUUGUCCGUCUAUUGUUGAAGCUGGGCCAGGAAUUGGACAAAAGUAAUUGCAGAUUAUGAUCAGCAAUCAUCUGAAGCACAAAGACGAGAAGUUACAAGCAUUUCAGAGAGCUGCAGGAGAAAAAAACAAACUGAAAUGAGUAUAUAUAUUCAAUGUGUACCUGAUUUCUGUUGAAUAGGGUGCCAGCGCAGAGUAUAGGUGCAGAUGGAUCGGUAAAGUUGCUCGGCCAGAGGCCGUGUGUCGUAAAGGUAUGCCGUAGAACUUGUUGGUUUCCACAAAUUCCAUUCCCAAGGCAGAAGACGUAUUGGAAGAUAUCAUAUGGUGUGGCAGCAUUGCUCUUUCCGACAUAAGUGACGAAGCAAAGAGCGAUGACAACGAGAACAUGUUGUGCGGAAGCGUCAAAUGUGAAACCAAUAAACUACAACGGCAAAAUAUGAUAAACUACAAUGGCAAAAUAUGAUAAGACAAAUAAUCUAAAUAACACAAGGAUUUAUACUGGUUCGGCGUAAGCCUACGUCCAGUUCCGAGACGGCGAGGAAAUUCCACUAAUAUCAAAAGGAGAUUACAAAUAGAGUUCAACACUCAAACCCAAAUCCCACAUACACCCAAUAGCUUUCACUCAUAUAAAGAACAAAUAGAGAAGAAGAAACACAUACCAAAUCCUUCUCUCCCAAAAGCCACAAAAUGUAGCAAUAUAUCUUUGAAUGAAUGAUUGCACAAAUGGAGAACAGUAAAACAGCAGCACUCAAUUUUCUUCUCUAUCGGCUGCUCUCUGUUUUCUGCUAUAUGCUGCCGCUGAGUUUCUGCUCUCUUUUUUCUGCUAUCUGCUGCCGCUGAGUUUCUGCUCUCUUUACUGACCAAAAGGCAUGAAUUGCCUUAUAUAAGGCUGGUGCCUUUUAAUUAAACCCUAGCUGCCAUGUGGCUUUCAAAUGGGUAACAAAAGGCCAAACCUAUUUGGGUUUGAGACAAAAAACUAAAGGCCCAAGAAGUAUUGAGCCACAAAAUCCAACAGAACAAUCUUGAAGAAGUGCAUGGUUGUCAAGCAAUUAUCAAAAGAACAAAGGGAGGGAGGGAGGAUGGGAUGAGAAAUAACAAGGAAAGCUAAAGAGUGAAUGAAGUGUGAAUUUUCAAAGAAAUGAAGAGGUGUUUAAAUAGUUAGAGUUGAGGUUAAGGGUAGGGUUUGGAGAAAUUAAUUAAGGUGAAGCUAACUAGCAAAGAUGAUAAUAAUUAAGGUCAAGUAAGUGUGAACAGAUCCUGAACUAGGGAAUGCCUCUUUCUUGUUAUGCAAGGCUUUGCAUUCUCAUAUGCAUGCUAUAAAGGGUGGUAACCGUGUAGUGGUUGAUUCAUCAACAACCCAAUCAACCCAAUUAUAGCGGUUCCUCAUAUAUCAGAUUCAGACCCCAAGCAAGCUAAUAGUCUCAAUUUUUAGAUUAUAAUUCUAUUUGAGAAAGCCAUUCAGGACCACGCUAGCUAAAUAUGGUUCCAAUCGAAUAUAAACAGAAACGAUUUGGACAUUGUUUAUGUAUCUUAUCUUGUAAAUUGAAGUUUCAACCACUACCUUCUAGCAGUGGUAAUUCUUAUCUUUGAAAUUUUGGAGCUCUCCUCUCCUCUUCAUGGUUUCUAUUCAACUUACUUAUCCCGGUUGCAGAUAAUUAAUUAACUUGUGGAUUAAGUAAAUAGCUAUUUCAAUUUGCUGCUACUCACCCUGGAGCUAGCCUUCGGACCGGGGAAAUCAUAUUGUCCUAUAGACACCCGCUUCGUCGCUGCAAGGCGACACCGCAGGGUGGAUAUCUGCGGGUACUCAUCAUUUCAUUUCAUGGUUGUAUUGCUUCACAUUUGCAGAUUGUUAACACAACAUGCCUUCUGUUUAGUUAAUUCAUUAAUCAAACAUGAUCAAAUAUACAACAUACAAAUUGUUAGAAUUGAGGUCAAGUGUAGAGUGUAGAGAAAGAUUAAGUUGAAGCUAGCUAGCAAAGGUGAUAAUAAUUAAGGUCAAGUGAGUGUGAACACAUUCGGAAUUAGGGAAUGCAUCUUUCUUGUUGCCCACGGCAAUGCGUUCUCAUGCUAUAAAGGGUAGUAACUGUGUAGUGGACGAUUCAUCAUCAACCCAAUUAUAUAAAGUGGUUCAUCAUAUAUCAGAUUCAAACCCUAAGCUAGCUAGUAGUCCAAAUUUUAGAUUAUAAUUCUGUUUCAAAAAUCCAUUCAGGACAACGCUAGCUAAACAUGGUUCCGAACGAAAAAAUACAGAAACGAUUUAGGCAUUGCUUGCGUAUCUCAUCUUGUAAAAACGUACAACUUACAAUACACUUAAUUUCGAACAUUGUUUGAGUAUCUCAUCUUCUUCGUUGAAAGGCAACACCGCAGGGUGGAUAUCUGCGGGUAGCCAUCAUUUCGUUUCUUGGUUGUAUUGCUUCAUAUACUCGUAAAUUUUUAUCGACUCCAAGUUUCUUAAAGACAUCCAUAAUUUGAACAACAAAAGGAUUUCAUUACUUUCGAUAUCUACGUACACAUGUACUUGUUGUUGCCUUCCGUGACCGAAACCAUACUCUUCACAUAUACAACGGGCGAAUGAUUUGCUUUGCACAGUGGCAAAUAAUACGGUUGCGGAGGAAAAAUGGGAUUGAUCCUUACAGCACUUUGAAUGGGAAGAUUUUUAAGCUUCUUAGUACGGAAGUUAUAGCAGACUAUGCCUCCAUUUUCCUCUACUGUAAGAACCUCUUCGCUUUUCCACAUUGGCAAGCCUCCAUUUCCCUCUACUGUAAGAACCUCGUCGCUUUUCCACAUUGCCAAUGUGGAGUACAGGGGCAAGAGGGACCUUGAGAAUGAUGGGAUCUUGGCAGCAAAGUGUUUUGUCCAAACACCACCCGCAUUUUUCGGACCACCACCAGAAUCAUCAUCCAUUAGCCACAUUUCAAAGGGUGGUGUAUCACCAUCUUCAAAGGUAUUACAAUUCAAGCGAAAGAGAGCGAUGGAUUCAUUCCACACCUUAAGACGCAUUUCAAUACCAAAUCCUUCGAAAUUGUUGAACUCUACCAUCUCAUGUGGUAACAGUAUGUCAUGAAACACCUCACGACUCAUGUCAAACCAAACGAUCACUCGCCUAAUUUUUUUCUUGCUCGGGAUAGGUGACAUCAUAGCUAUCGGCAAAUUCCUUUUGUUGCUCACUUCCUAUCCAAUAACACAUCCCCUUGAAGUACACCUGAAAAGUUUCAGGCCAAAGGAAAGUAGUUUCCGUUUCUAAAGAAUAAGGCUCGAUCUCCCUCCAAGAAUUAGUUCCUAGGGUAUACACUACUACCUUGGGAGGAUGAAUAAUCAAAUGUUCUGUGCCGCCAUGCAAUUCUGAACCAGAAAAUCCAAUUUUGACAACUUUGUAAUCUUUAGAUUUAGGAUCAUAGCCUAAUCCCAAAACAUCGUUGAACCGAUUUGUUAGUGGCAUGUAAGGCAUAUCCAACCACCAAGGAUGAGGAUCCCUAAAGGAUGCUUCGUCGAACCAAUCUGGACUGUAUGUCUCCGAGGGAAGGACCCUGAAUUCCUGAAUUGCCGGAUUCCACAAAAGCACCUUAGUAGAAUUAGGACGAGCUAGACAAAUGAUCCCAUCACAAUGACCUAUAACAUGAAAUGAUUGAUCAUCUCCAAUCUCCAGACUCAUAGAAAGAGGAAUAUUGACGUCCUCGAUCCCAGAAAGAGUGCUACACUUGUGCACACCACCAUCGUCAUCAUCAACAAUGACAUUGUCAAAAGUAAGUACUGAGAAUACGGAUUGAAAUUUGUCCCCAUUUGGGUCCUCCGUAGAAGGGACUAACAUUCGCUUCAGAAGGACACGAGUGGACUGAUCGUCCAGCAAGGAAUGGGAGAGGUGCUUGUCGACGAACCUGGGGUCGUUGAUGAGAGCAUGCCACCAUUUAGCGACGCACUUGAAUCGCAUCAGAGAUUUCGGAGGCAGAGUUGACAGAAUAUUCACCAACAAAUCUUGUCCGAUUUUGGAUGUUUUGUUCGUCAUUUGUGCAAUGUCAAUUAUGGACCUCACCCUUGUUCUACGAUACACACAAAGACCAACACAACAAGAUCAGAAGAUUCCACAAUUACACAUUCUCUCUAAUUAAGCAUAUUCUCAAAAGCUCAUCAUCAUCUGGCAUUGCUAUUUCUUGUUAAAAAUAAAAAAAAAACUCAUUGAUACAUUCAAAAAUUUAGCCCUACUGAAAAUGCCAAUUGAAAUUCAAAAGCGAAAUAAGAAUCGAAGCAAAAAAAGUAUCCUUCUUUCAUUUAAAAAAAAAUAUAAAAACUGAAAUUGAAUAAUAAAAAGUUAGAAAUGAGGUUACCUUGUUGUAGACUAGGCAGUAGGAAGAGGAAGAGACCGAAGCAGAAGCAGCGCUGUGAGUGAGAGGGAAAGGGGCAGACUCGGCGCAGAAAAUGUAUUUUCUGCGUUUUGUUCGUGCAGCUGCGUGCGGUAAUGCGAUGGCAGAGAGGGGUUUUUAUUUUGAUUCUUGUGCGACCGUUUUUCAACACCCUCCCAAUUUUACGAACUUACCCUCCCAAAUUCGGCUGCAGUUUGCUGUUCUCUUAACUUUUUAACAGAUGUCUAUAAACUUAACUUUUAAUUUAACGGUGCUAUCUUUUCAAAAGACUAAUAUAACAAAUAAAAAGAAAUAAAAGAAAAACAAAAGGUGCCUAACUCUCCACCUACCCAAUUACGCUAUUUAAUUGGUGUUAUCACUGUUUAAUUUAACGAUGUUAUCUUUUAAGGGGAUGCUGUUGUUUUUUUUUAAUUUUUAAUUUUUUUUAAAUGUUAACACUGUUGAAUUGGUAUUAAGUUGAAGCAUGUGUCACUAAGUUAGAAAGAAGACAUGACGAAGACACUAGUUUAUGGACAUCAGACUCCUGGGCCUCAAUUUGUAAAUCAGAUUAAUAGUCUCCGUGGUGAUAGAGUAUUCGGAGGAAAGUCUAUGUAGUAAAAAGAUUGCCGAGCUCUUCCAGUGGCUCUACUCUAAGCCCAGCCGUGAUGCCUGCUCCCUCGUUUGCAAGCGCUAGCUCGCCUUCGAGUGCCUCAGCAGCACCGCCCUUUGCAUUGGCGCCACGGGUAGCCCGGACCUUGUCGUCGGCCUCCUCGCUGCAAAUUCCACAACGUCCGCACGAUUCACAUUGACGAGCACCUUAACCUUUCAUCGAUGAGGCUGCAUUCUGCCAAUGGCUUUGACGACGACGUGCUUGAUUUGAACACUACCCCAAACUUUUUUUGUUUUGAACAAAUGAUAUUAUCUACACCAGUGAUGAUUACAACCACCGGAGUUUAUCUUUUAUUGACCCUAAAAACUAUUUGGGCCUAAACACCUUCCCAUGUGUGCCUUUUAGCCACCAACAUAAUCCAUCAGCUAGCUUGAUUUGCCCUUCAUAGUAGUUGUUUUUGUUGUUUAGUUAAGGAUUUCUAGAAAUCAGAAACUUUUGUUUUUUUUUUGUUCCCUCAUUUCUGGCUUGUUAAUACAAGCUAUCGUUGCAUAUAAAAAUAAAAUAAAAAGGACGUAGCCUUAUGCCAACCAUAUUUUUUUUUAAAUUAUUAUUAUUUGUCACAUCCCAGCCCGAGCCCUCACCACAUCUCGGGCUCGACUCCACUGUAGCACAAUAUUAUUCGUUUUGGGCCCUGAUCACACCCUCAAGGUUUUGUUUUUGGGAACUCACACGAGAACUUCCCAGUGGGUCACCCAUCAUGGGAUUCCUUUUGCGCGAACUCGCUGAACUUUGGAGUUUCGAUGAAACCCGAAGCCAGUGAGCUCCCAAAAUGCCUCGUGCUAGGUAGAGAUGAGAAUAUACAUAUAAGGCUUGCAGGAUCCAUUCCUUGGGCGAUGUGGGAUGUUACAAUCCACCCCCCUUAGUGGCCCGACAUCCUUGUCGGUACACUUCCGGCCAGGGAUUGGUUCUGAUACCAAAUUGUCACAUCCCGGCCUGGGCCCCCACCACCACAUCCCGGGCUCAACUUCACGGUAGCACGAUACUGUCCGCUUUGGGCCUCGACCACGCCCUCACGAUUUUGUUUUUGGGAACGAGAACUUCCCAGUGGGUUACCCAUCCUAGGAUUGCUCUCGCGUGAACUCGCUUAACUUCGAAGUUCCGAUAGAACCCGAAGCCAAUGAGCUCCCAAAAUGCCUCGUGUUAGGUAGAGAUGAGAAUAUACAUAUAAGGCUUAGAGGAUCCAUUCCCCUGGGCGAUGUGGGAUGUUACAUUAUUAAAUGGAUGAUUUAAAACUUUUAUAAUAACUUAGAUGAGGAGGGAUGUUUGAACUUGACACGCAAGGUAGAAAUCAACUUCCAAUCCACUAGGAUAUUGGACUACAUGCAUUAUGCCCAACCAUAUACAUAUCAAGGAUUGGUAGCCUUACUCGAUAAUUUCCUGUAAAACGGUCUUUGAAUCUCAAAAAUUGCUAAAAUUUAUUUAUUUUAAUACAUUCGAUAUUUUCUAUACUAAAGGAUCGAAGAAUGGCCAAACCUCACAGUGGCUAGUAAUAUUGCUUUUGUUUGAAUUCGCCUUUAGUCACAUGUAUAAGGAAAUUUAAAUUUUGCUCAUUCACUAAUCACCCGAGAAUCAUAUUCAUAAAGUAAUUAUCCAAAAUUUAAAACAAAACACCAAUAAAUAAUCCAAAUACAUAGAAAAAGAGUAAUGCUAGGAAGGCUAAAUUUGUAGACAAAAUUUGCAAACCAAAUUAUGUGUCACCAAUAAGGAAUGAUUACGUUCAUCCAUGUUUAAUUAAUGAUCUAAUCAACAACUUCGAUGUCAUUUAAUUCAUAAAAUUGUCUUACUCCAUAGAAAAUUGUUCAAAAACUUGAACCAAAUAUUAAGAGGGCGUUUAGCCACUAGGGGGAACUCAGACACAUGUUGGCCCUUGUUUAAAAGUUCUAAUCUUCCAUCGGUGUAGAUGACUUUUGAAAAUCAAAAAACUACACAGUGGUAUCUUCGGGAUUAUCAACUUGAACAAAGUUAGUGUGUAUGACUUUACGACGUGAAUGAUACUUAGCAACAACAUCAACAAGUGCUUGACAAAUGCAUGACCAAUAAUCCUUGGAACCACAAUGAUAACAUAUGUCUAUUUCUAUGGUGGUUGUGCCUUACCUUUAUUCUUGAAGUUGAAAGUCUUGAGAUCUAGAGAAUCGCGCUUUGAAACCACAACUGUAACACAUGUCUAUUGGACCAGAAAAGUGUGGCAAGCGUUGUUCGUUAUGGGAAGCUGAGAUAUCCACCAACACAUGAAGCCACAGGGUAUUCUCUUGUUUACAAUCAGCUCUCCCCUUUUGAAGUCCAAAAUUAUACUUCCGGAAUCAUCCACCAUGUUCGUCUCACAAGUUUGAUUUCGUUUGCUUCUUAUUUUCUUCAAAGUUUCAAUGGAGAAUUACAAAGUUGGGUUUUGCUGAAAUGACUGAACUUUUAAAUCCCCCAAACAUAAGUUGUGAUGGAAUGUGGUUCUUCUGAUAAGUUGGUGAUCUAAUUGUUGUUUCGAUGUAGGGUUGAAACUGAAUACACUGUACUUUUAUCGAUGCGGGGAUCCUUCUAUACAUGCAAUGAGUCAAAUCCACCAUUUCAGGACUAUCCCAGUUUCUGGUCCUCGGAGCUACCCUGAGAGAAUAGCGGUUAUGGGAGACCUUGGCCUUACUUACAACACAACUACCACAAUAAGUCACUUGAAAAGUAACAAUCCUGAUCUUGUUCUAUUGAUUGGUGAUGUUACUUAUGCAAACCUCUACCUCACAAAUGGAACUGGCUCUGACUGCUAUUCUUGCUCAUUUCCAAACUCUCCAAUACAUGAGACCUAUCAGCCUCGAUGGGAUUACUGGGGAUGGUUAAAACAUAAAUUGCUUUAUUUCUAUCGCAUACAAUGGCUGCUGUAAAUUAUGGCAUAGAACUUGUUUUCUUAUGUUGUCAUUGCUGGGUAAUUUGUGUAGGUAUAUGCAGAGUUUAGUGUCCAAAGUUCCAAUAAUGGUUGUUGAAGGGAACCAUGAAAUAGAAGAACAGGCUGAAAAUAAGACUUUUGAGGCUUAUAGUUCUCGUUUGAGAAAACAAAUUUAAUGUGAAAUUAAUUGGUACUUGGUUCCCUCAUUGCUAAAACACAUAAUACAAAUCUUAUUUGAAACGCUAUCAGAAACAAUGACCUUAUCUUGAAACUCGUAUCACAACAGUACCAUUUGGUUCCGAUCCCAAGCAUGUUUUUAUUAAGUUGUCCUUGGUGUCUAUGAAUGACGAACAAUUUUCCUCAUUGUAAUUAAUUAUCUUUUUGCUUUAAAGUGCACUGAAUAUUCUUCAAUUUUCUUGAAUAAAACAAUAGGUUCAUGCCUACAAGAGAUCGAAUCGAGAUUAUGAUUACAACUUAGAUUCCUGUGGUCCUGUGUAUCUCACCGUUGGUGACGGGGGUAAUCGGGAGAAGAUGGCAGUUCAACAUGCUGACGAACCUGGUCAUUGCCCAGAGCCAUCAACUACUCCUGAUCAACACCUAGGUGCUGGUGCCUUUUGUGUAGAGAAAUUUACCUCCGGCCCAGCAGCAGGUAAAUUUUGUUGGGAUCGGCAACCGAAUUACAGUGCUUUCAGAGAAAGCAGCUUUGGCCAUGGGAUCCUUGAGGUACUCCUUUUUGUGUUUUUAUGUUUGGCAUAUAUCCAGUCUGACAAUGCAUUCAAUUGUCUAUAAACGUUAUAACUUAAUAUGUACGACCCUAAACUACAUAUGAUACAACUUGAAAAUGAUUGAUGGAAAGAUGAGCAUGUGCUUGACAGUCAAUGUUAUGGAACCAGUUUAAAUCAUUUUUACCACUCCACUGCAAUGUUGAUAGAGUUUGUGAUUUUAUAUGGUUUUGUGAUUUUAUGAAGUAUCAAAGCACGAAAUAAAAAAAAUAAAAAAUCAAUGAGAUUAUGAUCUCUGCUCAGAAAGCAGGAAGGAAUGAAGGUGCGAAGAAGGUGAAGAGAUUUCUCCCUUGGAUUCUAUUAAGCUAUAACUGAAUUGAUACAUCUAGAAGCAUAGAGUGGAGGGUGAGAUAUAGCGUUUGAGGGCACACUCACUCAUCAACCUCACACACUCACGUGUAUAGCACAUGCUCACCUAUAAGUGAGUUGCUAUGCCAUGUGACACAUAUCUAGCCUAUUACCUUUGAUUGAAUUUGAGCCCUACAUUACAAACUAAGAACAAACACCUUGAAUUACAAAGGAAAAUAAGAAACUUAAAUCAGAAAGCAGCUACAAGGCUUAAACAUCAACAUUCUCCUUUAAGCUGGCAGCUGAUUUGACUCCUAACAUCUCUCUAAAAUAGUUGAACUUCUCCUUUGGUAGGGCCUUAGUCAAGAUAUCUGCCAUUUGUUCUUCAGAUUUGCAGUAAACAAGCUAAAGUUCCUUCUCUUAUAUUGCAUCCCUGAUGAAGUGAAAUUUUCUGCUGAUGUGUCUUGUUUUCUGAUGAAACACAUGAUUCUUGACAAUAGCUAUUGCUGAAGUGUUAUCACACAUUAGCAUAGUAGGUUCAACCUGUUCUUCUCCAAAAUCUUAUAGAACAAACCUCAACCACUUGGCCUGAGAUGUUGCUUCUGCAACACUUACAUAUUUAGCUUCUGCAGUGGACAAUGCCACUGUGUUUUGUUUGAUUGAUGCCCAAGAGAACACACCUGAGCCAAGAUUGAAAGCAUACCCUGAUGUGCUUCUCAUGUCAUCAACACUCCCAGCCCAGUCACUGCCACAAUAUCCAAUAAGCAAUGCUGACUUUCGUUUUACAUAUUCAAUGCCAAAGUCCAUAGUACCUUGAAUGUAUUUUAGUACUCUUUUUGCUGUUCUCAUAUGCUUCUUGGUUGGACCAUGCAUGAAUCUUGCCAAGAGACUAGCACCAAACAUUAUGUCUGGUCUAGUGGCAGUGAGGUACAAAAAGCUUCCCACCAAUUUCCUAUACUCAGACUCAUCUGCAGUUUCACUUCCAUCAUUCUUGCAUAGCCUUUCAUUUGCUACAAGUGGUGUUCCCACGAAUUUACAACCCUUUAGUCCAAAUUUCUCCAACAACUUCAUUGCAUAUUUCUUCUGAUGUAUAAAGAUGCUCUUCUUGGUUUGUACAACUCUCAUACCAAGAAAAUGGUGCAGCAAUCCCUAAUCUGUCAUCUCAUAGUGCUGCAUCAUGUCAUUUUUAAAUUUGUCCAGCAAUGUGUCACUACUACCAGUGUACACAAUAUCAUCAACAUACACAGAAACAAUGAGAAUCCCUGAGUUUUCAACCUUAGUGUAUAGAGUGGCUUCACUAGGACUUCUUUUAAAACCAGCCUUGGUGAAGUAGGAAUCAAUUUCAUCAUACCAAGCUCUUGGAACUUGAUUAAGGCCAUAUAAUGCCUUGUUUAACUUGUACACUUUAUCCUCCUUGCCUUCUAUGACAAAACCUUGAGGUUGAUCAACAUAGACUUCCUCCUUGAGUACACCAUUGAGGAAUGCAGACUUUACAUCCAACUAAAAGAGUUGCCAUUCUUUCUGAGCUGCAAGAGCUAUCAAAGUCCUUAUGGUGUCAAGCCUAGCAACUGGUGCAAAAGUCUCAUUGAAGUCAAUUAUUGACUUCUGUGAAUAACCUUUUGCAACCAAUCUAGCUUUGUUUUUCUGAAUGCUUCCAUCAAGAUUCAGUUUUGUUUUGUAUACCCACUUCACACCUAUCAUAGGUUUGCUAGAUGGUCUGUCUACCAGCAUCCAUGUACUAUUCUUUUCAAUCAUGUCUAGCUCAGCUUGCGUAGCUUUCAUCCAAGAUAAAUCUAGAGCAGCCUCUUCAUAGCUUUCAAGUUCCAUAAUGCAAACAUUACACUAUGCAAGAACUUCAUUCAAGGGUCUCCAUUUCUUUGGAGUAAAAUCAUAGCUCUGUGAUAGAUCAAUCUGUGAGCUUGAACCAUCAGCAUUGGAACUCAAACUUUCCUGUGAAAUAUCAGAAGUGAUCUCAGGGAGUAUAAUUUCAUUUGAACUUCUAAUCCUUGAGUUGGUUCAGAUUCUACUAUAUUAGUAGUAAUUGAUGUAUCAAAAUAUUUUUCAGAGCUUACAUUCCAAUCCCAUCUGGGACUCUCAUCAAAUACUACAUCUCUAGACAAUAUAAUUUUAUUAGUGAUAAGAUCAAAUACCCUGUAUCCUUCCUCACUGGUUCCAUACCCCACAAAGACAUAUUUGUGACUGUUGCAUUCAAGCUUGUGUCUAAGAUUCAUGGGAACAUGAACAUAGCACACUGAACCAAAGAUCUUCAAAUGUGCAAUUCCAGGUUUUAUUCCACUAUAGGCUUCAAAAGGAGUCAUUUUAUCCAAAGACCUUGUAGGACACCUGUUGAGGAGAUAUACUGCAAUGUGCACAGCUUCUGUCUAAAACUGGUAUGGCAUGCCUUUUUCAUGUAGCAUAGUUUUUUCCAUUUCCACCACAGUUUUAUUUUUUCUUUCAGACACACCAUUCUGCUGUGGUGUGUAUGACAUGGUUAGUUGCCUUUGAAUACCAGAGACAUUGCAAUAGUCACUGAAUUCAGAAGACAUGAACCACCUCUAUCAUUUUUUAGGUACUUGAUCUUGUGUCCACCCUGCAAUUCUGUCAUUGCAUUGAACCUUUUGAAAUACUCAAAUGGCUAGGAUUUUUAUCUCAGAAAAUAAACCCAUGUCAUUCUAGUACAAUCAUCAAUGAGCAGAAUAAAGUACUUGUUUCCAGCAUUUGAAGCAAUUUGCAUUGGACCACAGAUAUGUAUGUACCAAUUCAAGUGGGAAUUUAGCUCUCCAAGCAAAUUCUCUUGGAAAUUCAUCUCUACGUUGCUUGCCAAGCAUACAUCCUUCACAAACAUUCUUGGAAUCUUCCAAGUGAGGCAGCCCAUGAACCAUUUCUUACUCCCUAAGUUGCAGCAAACUUCUUGUGUUUAAAUGACCAAGCCUCUUGUGCCAAGUCUGAGUACAAUGAGAUACACUAGCUUUCAGUGCUAGUGGUGUAGCAGGCAUCAUGGUUAAGGGAAAACACAUGUUGCCAGUCAUUUGAACCUUAGCAACCAGUCCAUUCAAGUUCUAGCUAUCAUAAAUACAAACUACAUUACCACCAAAUAGUAGAUAGUAACCAUGUUUCAACAUUUGCCCCACACUUAGGAGAUUUUCCUCCAAGCCAGGCACCAUCAUCACUUCUUGUAUGUGUUUUCUUCCCAUCUUAGUUUCAAUGACAAGUGUACCUAUUCCUGCUACACUCACAACUUCACCAGUUCCCAUUUUUACUCUUGCAUUCAGGUUUCUACUCAUAUUCAUCAGCAAGCUUUCAUUCCCUAUCAUGUGGUUGCUGCAACCACUAUCAAUGUACCAAGUAUUAUUGACUUUCACCUGAGUCACAAAAUUGCAAGCAAAGAAUAAGGUUCCCAUAUCAUCAACCUGAUUUGCAUAGUUGGCCUUCUGCACCAUUUUGUUCCCAUUGCAGUUUCUGGUUUCAUGAUCAAAUUUAUUGCAAUUUGUGCAUUUAGGUUUUCCUUCAAACCAGCACUUUCCAUAGUGCAGUUUAUCACAAUGUUUGCAAGCUGUUUUGUUCGAAUCAUGAGAAUUAUUCUGCUUAGAGACAAGGUUGGGCUUGUUAUCCCACUUUUUCCUUUUGUUCUUCCAAUUUUUUCCUGAUUUUUGAGUACCGGAGAACCCACUGGGUUUUUGAAACUUAGACCCAACAUUUAGACUAACAAAUGCCUUUUCAUUAGAGUUUUUAGCAUGCAUAUCUAGCCUUUGUUCAUAACCCUUCAGAGAGGCAACAACUUCUUGGAUUUCAAGGGUUUCAAUAUCCUUUGAUUGUUCAAUCACAGCACAGAUAGAGUCAUAACUUCUAGGCAAGCUUAUAAGUAAUUUUUGAACAACCCUGUCCCUAGAUAGUUCUUCACCAUAACCCCUUAUUUGAUUCAUGAGGUCAAACAAUUUAGUAAGGUAUGUAGAUAAGGAUUCAUCAUCUAUCAUCCUAGUGUACUCAAAUUCUCUGCUUAAACCUUGUAAUUUCACAUUUCUAACCUGUUUGUCAUCUCUGAGUUCUUGCUGUAGAAUAUCCCAAGCUCCCUUGGAGGUUUCUUCGUUAGAGAUCCUGGGGAAAAUCUGAUCAAUGACAGCUCCUUGGAUCAACCCAAGAGCCUUAGCAUCCUUCAUUAUGAUCUCCACAACGUUUGGAGUUUCAGUAGCUGCAUCAUUCUCCUUCUUUUCAUCAGCUACCAUAACCACAAUAGAUGAUUAUGGGAUAGUAAACCCAGUCUCUACGAGCUCCCACAGUCCAUGAGACUAGAGGAUGGUUCGCAUUCUGAUAUUCUAGAAUUCAUAGUUCUCACCAUUGAAAAUGGGAGUGCGAAGCUCAGAACUCGUUGUUCUAGCCAUAUUAGACUCAGAUCUUCGAUUUUCACAGAUUUUCAAAGCGCGAUUCUUCAGCAAUGAAGCUUAGGGAAAACAAUUCAUUGAAGAACACAGAAAUCACAUAUUCAUGCCCAGAUUAAAGCGAUGAACCUGGCUCUGAGGCCAUGAUAGAGUUUGUGAUUUUAUAUGGGUUUGUGAUUUUAUGAAGUAUCAAAGCAUGAAAUCAAAAAGAAAUCAAUGAGAUUAUGAUAUCUGCUCAGAAAGCAUGAAGGAAUGAAGGUACGAAGAAGGUGAAGAGAUUUCUCCCUUGGAUUUUAUUCAGCUAUAACUGAAUUGAUACAUCUAGAAGCAUAGAGUGGAGGGUGAGAUAUAGUCGUUGAGGGCGCACUCACUCAUCCACCUCACACACUCACGUGUAUAGCACAUGCUCACCUGUAAGUGAGAUGGUAUGCCAUGUGACACACAUCUAGCCUAUUAGCUUUGAUUUAAUCUGAGCCCUACAUUACAAACUAAGAACAAACACCUUGAAUUACAAAGGAAAAUAAGAAACUUAAAUCAGAAAGUAGCUGCAAACAUCAACAAAUGUCACGAGAAAAUCACUUCGCACCAAUAUCUGUUUAUAUGGGGUGCGAAAAUCCUGUGACUAACUUGAAUACCCUUGAUCGGUUAUUGAGUAGCAAACAUAUAGAUGUAGGCUAGUAGGCUAGAAGUCUGCUGAGAAUGUAUAUACUAGAAUUAUAGCUCAGUUUCACCACCUGGAUUAUACAUUAACCGUGCAUUUUGAUGUGCAUAACUUGCAGGUGAAGAAUAAGAUUUGGGCUUUGUGGACAUGGUACCGGAACCAGGACUCCGACAAUAAAAUUAGAGAUCGAAUUUAUAUAGUGAGGCAGCCUGAUAAAUGCUGCAUCCGCCAUGCGUUCUAAAGUUGGCUUGCUGGCCUCUAAUUCUCACUGCUGCUUGCUGGGAAAAUUAUUAUUAAGAUACCAACUCAAGUGACCAUUCUUAUCUAGAUAGGAAUAGGACGGAAGGUGCAGAAAGAGUAGGAAGAUGGGGUUUCACCUAUGUAUACACACUACAUAUAUGGGGAGAGGGAGAGAGAAAGAGAGCAGAAGACGAAAAGCAACUCCGUUAUUGUGGUAUGUAGCUGAUAAAAUCUCAUUUAUACAUCUCCAUUGUAACUUGAAUAUAUACUCUCAACCAAUUUAUACAACAAAAAAUGUGUAAGAUUGGUUCCUGGAGCAAUUUCAGAUAUCGAAUUCUGAACUAUUUGCGUAUUUUGUUGAGUUACUGCAAAUUGGUUCAACUGAUGAACCAAAAAUUUCCCCUCCCCCUAUUAUGAAGCCAAAAAAUUGUUGGAAGUGACUUUUAUAUUGUCACUUAGUGUUACAAGUUCACUAAUGUUAUGGUGGCACCGCUUAUAAGGGUGGUGUUUCGACAAAACCCUUAGCUCCCGAGCUCACAAUGCACCCCGCCUAUAAGUCAUUCGGAGUUUGGAAGGAGCAAUGAGGUUUGCUAUAACCUCCGUACAAAAAACCUUCAACAACUUCCCAUACAUUGUAUUCUCCAUUAAAUUCCAGGCCAGGGGUUCCACCUCCAUCUCAUAUAAUUUCUUACCGUCUCUUGUCCAAAACAUUUGUAAUAUUGUGCCAAUUAUGUUAUAUAUUUGCAGGAUGCAUAGCAAUUUGGUGUUAGUAAAACAUUGUCUGCCGCAUAUUUGAUCAUGUUUUAACUUAGGAAUUUCAUGGUCUAGUUAAUUUUGACGAAUUUGAAAGGCUUUUAAAACAAAUUAGAAUCAAACUUUCAAAAUUACUACCCCAAACAAAUUGCACUGCAAAUUACCAUAAUCAGAAUUCAUCAGCUCAUGUACAUACUACAUAACAUUUACUUAGGAUAUGAAAUGGUGAGAUCGAUAAAUUCGAAAUCAUCAUUAUAUUGUUGUUCUUAUUACAUUAAUAUAGAUACAUGUAGCCACUAUAUAUAUACCUAUUAGAGUGAAUAACAUACCAAUGCCAUGCCCCACAAUUUGUUGUCCUGACACAAUCGACCGGAUUCGCCGCGUUGUAGUCAAAACAGAUGACGACUUCCAGCAGAUACACGAUCCCCCCGUCAUACUUGCAACGAAGAAGAGGUAUUUUGUUUUGUAUAGUCCUUUGAAUGGUUGAUUCAAGGUCGAUGUAACGAUAUUGAUAUCCUGGUACAAUCCCAGUUGUUUGAGAAAAUAGAUAUUGUGCAUUGUAGGUAAACUAUAUAAGCUUCAUGGAAGUAUUGUGUCUGGGAAAAUUUAUUGUCCGAGCACCUGCCGUGCUUGUUGUAUUGAUCCUCCCAGAAAUCCAUAUUUGUCUGUCUAAUGUUUAAGGUUGGCCAGGAAUUGGACAAAAGUAAUUGCAGAUAAUGAUCAGCAUUCAUCUGAAGCACAAAGAUGAGAAGUUACAAGCAUUUCAGAGAGCUGCAGGAGAAAAAACAAGGGAACUGAAAUGAGUGUGUGUAUAUAUAUAUAUUCGAUGUGUACCUCAUUUCUGUUGAAUACGGUACCAGCGCAGUGUAUUGUACAUCAGACUCCUGGCCCUCAAUUUGUAAAUCAGAUUAAUAGUUUCCAUGGUGAUAGAGUAUUCGGAGGAAAGUCUAAGUAGUAAAAAGAUCGCCGAGGUCUUCCGGCGGCUCGCCUCCAAGCCCAGCCUUGAUGCCAGCUCCCUCUUCUGCAAGCGCUAACUCGCCCUUGAGCGCCUCAGCAGCAUCGCCCUUUGCAUCGGUGCCACCGGCAGCCCGGACCUCGUCGUCGGCCUCCUUGCUUCCAAUUCCGCAAUGUCUGUGCCGUUCACAUUGACGAGCACCUUAACCUUUCGUCGGUGAGGCUGCAUUCUGUUUGAGAAAAUGAAUUUCAUUGAUUAAGAGAAUAAAAUUACAAUGUUGUGGUGUGUGUGUGUGUGUGUGUAUAUGUGUGUGUGUAUAUAUAUAUAUAUAUAUGUAUGGAUACCCUCUACACUCUCACAUAACUCUAACCUUCUAAACACCUAGCCACCUAUACAACAAUCUCAACUAAUCACUAGUCUAAUACAACAAACUAACUAGCUCUAAGUUUUAUCACCAAUUGAAUCUUUAACAAUAUUAUCCUUAACAUCCCCUCCUCAAACUGAACUGAGGAGUUCGAAGGGACAAUUUGGAUCUUAAGAGCUUAAACCAGUCUUUGGAAAGAGAUUUUGUGCAGAUAUAUGCAAUUAAGUUCCCCGACGCGACUUCGAAUGAUUUUGUAACUUUUUCGAUUUGGGUAAGCCUCAAAACACUCCAAAUGUUUCUCUUUUCGUCCCUAUAGUUCUUUUAUGACCACGUUGUUGUGUUUUGGACAUCAAAAUAUGAAGAAACACCUCGGAGGACUAUAUUCCAUGUUUUCUGGCGAGGUGCUGGAACUUGCAGACGUUUUCUGAUCAUAUUUCAGCCACGAGGAAGGUAUAUUUCGACUCCUUGCUUCACGGGCUUCAUUUUGGUAUUUUAGUUCACUUGUUUUGACUAAGUUUCGAGCUCCAUCAAAGCUCGGGCAUUCUCUAGCCAAUUUUUGGCCUUCUUAUUCCUUUGGUCCGAUGACCCACAACCUUAGACCCAAAACCCUUUUUACCCAGCCCAUUUGGGUAGCCCAAUCCCUUAUCCUUUAAACCAAAUGACCCAAUUAAAUAAUCGGGCUUUCAAGCCCAAAACCCUAGUCUAACUAGGCCCUUAGGCCGUGCACCUAGGCCCAGGCCCAUCGCCAAUCCAGCCCAUUAAACCCAAACCCUUGACCAUUUGAAACCAGGCUUUUGGGCCUAGGUCCCUUCAGCCUAAACCCACCAGCCCAACUCGGAUGGAAUAUUCUUUGGAAUAUUCCGUCAGAGAAUAUUCUGUCAAGGAAUAUUCUUUGGAAUAUUCUUAGUGUUGACUUUUUAUUGACUUUUUCGAAAUUUACCCGGAACCCUUUUUAGGGUAAUUCGACGUCCUGAAUCCAUUUUAGACAUCCGUUUUCCCAAAUUCAAUCAUUUGAAUAAAGUUUUAUUAAUUGGACCAUUUAUGUGCUUAUGUGCAAUUAUUUACAGCGAUUCCGUCAUUUUUAUUUCAUAUGGCUCUACAACGACGGAGUAUCUGUGAGUGGACUCCUUCUAAAAUGCAUGUUUUAAUACUAGAAAUGCAUACAUAAAAAGCCUAAUUUAAUUAUUACUUUUUAUGAAACGUUUUUAUGAGAUAUUAUGCUUACUGAGAAUAUUUUGAAUUACCAUAUUUUAUCGAACUCAUGUUCUAUGUGGUAUAGAUGAUGGAUGACUUUAUACUGCUUAUGAGCAUGCUUUUGCACACUUCUUUAUAGUAUAGGUGAUGGAUGACUUUAUACUAUGAAGAUGUUUUUAAGAUAUAUAUAUACCUAUGUUUGGAAAGUCUAUGUUCAAUGGUUUUGUGCUUAUCUAGUGGUCACUAUACCGCCACGGGCGAGGAUUAUGGUUGUUGGCUGUGGGCCGGGAGAAAUAAUCUCUGGCUUCGGGCCGAGAGACAUGGAGUUGGCAUUGGGCCAGGAGAAAUAAUCUUUGGCUACGGGCACAGAGACAUAAAAGCUGGCAUUGGGUCGGGAUAUUAUUAUUGGAUACCAUUAUGUAUCACACUAUUUACGAGAUAUGUUUUAUGAAGGUUUUAUGGCAUGCUAGGGUUUUCGGAAAACCUAUUACAUAUUAUACUAUUGAAUUUCCAUAAAACUUUGGUGGUUAGUAUGUUGAUAACUGUUUUAGUCUAUAUAUAUAUAUAUAUAUAUAUAUAUAUAUAUCAACUUGGUCCACUCAUGUUUGUUUUGCGCCCCCUCAGGACUUAGAAUUGAGGUGUACAAUCCCGACGUCAAGGCACUUCCGAUUCGGCAGCUUUGAGGCCUCUCGGUGUAGAACCCAUUCCUUUGCUCCUUCAAUGUUAUAUUUUUUCUUUAGUGUUCUAGAUUAGUUGUAUGCUCUGAACACGUUCCUCAUUUGCAUAUUAAUUAUAAUUAAAUUUAUAAGUCUUAUAUAUUUCGGGUUCUCAUGCAUUCUAAUAUGGCUUCGUCACCUUAGGGUGUUGGCCAACACGUUCCUACCCUGGUGUUCGGGGAAUAUCAGGGUUGGGCGUGUCAACAUGGAAGAUGGAAACUAAUAUCAGCAAGUAACUGACAUAUCCAUGUAAUUUCAGCUGCAGUAUUAGCUAGAGAUCGAUACUCUGCCUCUAUUGAAGAACGAGCCACUAUUGGUUACUCCUUAGCACUCCAAUUGAUGAUAGAUGAACCCAGAAAAAUACAAUAACUGCCAGUUGAUCUUCGAUCAAGUGUGCAACCUGCCUAGUCAGCAUCUAAGAAGGCUUUGAGAGAUGGAACAGAGACAGAUUAUGUAAACCAAAGACCAAUGUCAAUGGAACCCUUAAGAUAUCGAAUGAUCAUUUUGACAGCUUAAAAAUGAGACUGCCUUGGAUUGUGCAUGAAUUGACAAACAAGAUUGACUACAAAUCAUAAAUCUGACCGAGUCCAAGUAAGAUAUUGUAAUACACCAACCAAAGAUCGAUAUUCUGUAGGAUUAUCAAGCAAUGGAGAAGAAUGAUCCAACUUAGAUGUAUUGAGUGGGGUAACACAUGGUUUUGCUCUAGCCAUGUUAGUCUUCUUUAACAGAUCCAAGAUAUACUUGGUUUGUGAAAUAAAGAUGCCUUUGGAGGAUCGCUUGACUUCAAUUCCCAGAAAAUAAUGAAGUGCACCAAGGUCUUUGAUGAGAAAGAGAGAGCUAAGUUGAGAAAUUACAUGUUUCCAAGCUGCUACAGAUGGCCCUGUGACAAUAAUGUCAUCAACAUAUAUCAGAACAAAGACCAUAAGAUCCCUUUUGACAAACAAUGAAUGAUCUGAUUUAGAACUAGUGAAGCCAAGAGUAUGCAAUGCGCCAUGGAAUUUUUCAUACCAGGCUCUGGGAGCCUGUUUAAAACCAUAUAGGGAUUUAUGCAGUUGACAAACAUGAGUAUGGUGAAUAACAUCUUCAAAACCAGGCGGAUGUUGCAUAUAAACAGAUUUAGACAAUGUCCCAUGCAGAAAAGCAUUGCUUUCAUCUAGUUGACUGAGACUCCAAUCAAAUUGGGCAGCAAGAGUGAGUAUGAGUCGAAUUGUCACAGGCUUGGCUACUGGACUAAAAGUCUCAGUAUAAUUAAGUCCUUCUUGCUGAUGAAAACCUUUGGCAACUAAGAAAACUUUGUACUUAUCUAUGGUACCAUCAGGUUUUCUUUUAAUCCUGAAAACCCAUUUACAUCCUACAAUGUUUUGAUGAGCAGUUUUGGGUACUAAAGACCAAGUACCAGUUUGUUGGGAGGCAAGAAACUCAUCCUGCAUUGCCUUAACCCAAUGUGGAUAUUUAGAAGCUUGGAGAUGUGUAGUGGGGACAAAUUCAUAUGAAAAUUAAGAAAGGAGAGGAUGUUUGCUUGCAGAAAAGGCUUUUGGUUUGUAAAUACCAGAUUUGGACCUGGUUUGCAUAAGGUGAGUAUUAGUAGGAACUGAGUGAGAUGUAGGUAUAAGAGAUAUAGGUAUAGGGGCUAUUGGAGAAGAGCUACUUGGAAAUAUAUGAGAUGGAGAUGAUGGUAUAGGGGAAUGAAUAUGUGGUUGAGUGAAUGUGAGGUGAAUGGGAAUGGUAUUGAGAGGUGAAGAUGCUGCUGAGGGAAAAGAGCACUGUGAAACUGCAAUAGUGUUAAAGGGAAAACUGCCUUCAUCAAAGAUCACAUUUCUGAGAUGUAUAACUUGUUGGUAGUAAGAUCCAAACAUUUGUAACCUUUUUGGUUAAGGCUGUAAUGAAGGAAUACACAUAACUUUCUUUUGGGAUCCAAUUUAGACUCAGAGUAAGGUUGCAGCCAUGGAAAACAACUACACCCAAAAACCUUCAAGGUGGCAUAGUUAGGUGAUCUGUGGAAAAGACGUUCCCAUGAAGACAAUCUGGAUAAAGUAGGUAAUCUAUUUAUGAGAAACACAACUAUGGAAAAAACAUGAUCCCAAUAGGUGUAAGGGACCUUAGAAACUGUUAAAAAUGUUCUGGCAGUCUCAACUAUGUGUCUGUGCUUGCAAUCAGCACAACCAUUCUGUUGAGGAGUGUAUGGACAACUUAGUUGAUGACUAAUACCAUUUUCAACAAGGAAAUUAGAGAAUUGAGUGCUAAGAUAUUCCCCACCAGAUCUGAUCUGAGAGCAACAAUUUUAGUAUGCAACAAGUUCUCAACAAGACUUUUGAACUUAACAAAAGUAGGAAACACAUUAGAUUUAUAUUGCAAAGGAUAAAGCCAACAAUAUUUUGUAAAAUCAUCUACAAAGAUGACAUAGUAUCUGAAAUUGUUCACAUAAGUGACGGAUGUUGGCCCCCAAACAUCUAUGUGAAGUAGCUCCAAAGGUUUACUGGUAUGACAAGGUACAUAAGCAAAUGGCAAUCUGGAACUUUUGCUUAAGGCACAACCAUUAUAGAAAGACUUAUUAGAACCAUUAGAAAACCAAAUACAAUACUUAGUAGCCAACUUAUUGAGAAUCUUCAUCGAAGGAUGGCCAAGUCUUUGGUGCCAAAUAUUUCUAGAUGUGUUAACAGAAGCAGCAAACACAUUGUGAUUGUGGAUCACAUAACUGGAAGCCUAUAGUUGAAAUAGAUAGAAGCCAUCUCUCACAUGACCUUUAAAGAGCAUCUUUCCAGAAGAAAUAUCCUUCACAGCGAAGUGAUAAGGAUAAAGAUGCAUAGAACACCAAUUAUCAACAAGAAACUGAUUUGCAGAAAGCAUAUUUUGUUUCAAAUCAGGAACAUGCAACACAUUUCGAAGUUGAAAAUUAUGAUGAGGAGUAUGUAAUGCAGAAGAACCAGAGUAGAGAAUGGGCAAACCUUUGAAGAGUGUUGUAAGAAUUGGUCAUGUGAGUACUAGCACUGGAGUCAACAAUCCAAGUAAGUUGAGGAGAAAGUGUGCUUGCAGCCAUAGCAGAAUGAGAAGCAUUGCUGGAAUAAUGUGGAUUCAUGCGCUAGGGACACUCGAUUGCAUCAUGCUCAAACUAGCGAAAAAUUUGGCAUGGAAUCCUCAUUCCAGAGAAAUUGAAGGAUGAUCAACUACCACGGUUGUAACACUGAGAGUUGUUGCGAGAAAAAUUUAGAUGAUAGUUGUUAGAACGGAAGUUGCUUCAUCCUUGGAAGUUUCUAGGGUUGGAGAAACCACGAUCGCCACCAUGACCUUGAGAGAAAUUACGAUCACCACCACGACCUGGAAGAUUAUGUUGAGCAACAAAGGCCUGAGAAUGUGGAGUAUGAAGGAUGCCGGUGGUGGAGUUGUACGCCUGAAUUGGCACUAUCGAAGUAGUUUUCUUCCAAUUUGUUAACUGAAUCUCUAUACUAAGAAGAAGACUAUGCCGCUCAUCAAGUGUGGUGGAACCAAGCUGGAAUUGUAUCGCAUCAACAAAAGAUUCGUACUCUGAUGGUAAAUCGUGAAAUGUGAUAGAGAUUAAUUCAGAAUCCUUAACUGGAGCACCGACAUUGGCAAGAGCAUCAUCGAUCUCUUGAAUUUGUUGAAGAUAUUGAGCAGUUGUGGAAUCGCCCUUUGAAAUGCUGUGUAAACAUGAUCGGAGCUCAUGGAUGUGCCAUUGAGACGCCAUCGCAAGGCGUGACUCCAAUUUUACCCAAAGUUAUCUGGAUGUAGUAACUCUAACAAUGUAAGGAAUGAUCGAUUUAGAAAGCAUGGAAUCGAUCCAGAUGAGGAUGUUCUUAUCAUUCUCGAACCAAGAAACAUAUGCCGGAUUCAGAAUUUGAUUUCCAACAGCAUUAGAGAUGAAUUGAGCUGGAGGAGGCAUCGAUCCAUCAAGAAUUCUAGUGAGAUUAUAGCGACGGAAGAUCGAAGAAAAUAAUGCACUCCAAGUGAGAUAAUUGGUCAGAGUCAGCUUGAUCGGCACCAUGGAUUCGAUAUUCUGGAUCAUGAUUAAAGGUGUGGAGAGAGUAGAACUAGAAUUUGAGAGAAGAUCAGGAUGAAUUUGUGUUGCCGAUUUAGAAGAAGGAGAAGCUGAGGUCGCCAUGGGAGAUAGUUAGGGUUUGGCAGUGAAAGCUUAGGAAGGAAGAAAGCUUAGCGAAGAAGCUGGAGAGGGGAAAGCGUGGAUUGGAUCAAGUCGGUAGACAGAAGGCGGGUGAUACCAUGUUAGAGAAAAUGAAUUUCAUUGAUUAAGAGAAAAAAAAUUACAAUGUUGUGGUGUGUGUGUGUGUGUGUGUGUAUAUACACCCUCACAUAACUCUAACCUUCUAACCACCUUGCCACCUAUACAACAAUCUCAACUAAUUACUAGUCUAAUACAACAACCACAACAAACUAACUAGCUCUAAGUUUUAUCACCAAUUCAAUCUUUAACAAUACCAUCCUUAACACAUUAUGCCAAUGGCUCCGCCGAAAACGUGCUUGAUUUGAACAGCGUAUCAGAUGUCAGUAUGACUGCUAUCAGCAACAGAUUCCCCAAGCUCGAAAAUCUGAGCUUAAUCUGGUGCUCCAAUGCCUCUAGUAUCGGUCUAAUUUUGCUGAUAAGUGUAAACUGUUGAAAUCGUUGGAUUUGAUAGAGUUGAAUUUUAAUGCUUGAAGUCUGCAAUUCUUCGUUUGAAUACUUAACUGGACUAUCAGUGAUCCACAACUCCCUGGUUGGUAGCUACUUGGCAUCCUUCCUGGUAUAGUACCUACGAAGCCCUUUACAGAGAGGCAGAAUGUAUGAGGUAGCAAACAUAUAGAUGUAGGCUAGUAGGCUAGAAGUCUGCUGAGAAUGUAUAUACUUGAAUUACAGCUCAGUUUCACCACCUGGAUUAUACACUAAGCGUGCAUUUUGAUGUGCAUAACUUGCAGGUGAAGAAUGAGACUUGGGCUUUGUAGACAUGGUACCGGAACCAGGACUCCGACAAUAAAAUUGGAGAUCAAAUUUAUAUAGUGAGGCAACCUGAUAAAUGCCGCAUCCGCCAUUUGUUCGAAAGUUGGCUUGCUGACCUCUAAUUCUCACUGCUGCUUGCUGGGAAAAAUUUAUUAUUAAGAUCCCAAAUCAAUUGACCAUUCUUAUCUAGAUAGGAAUAGGAUGGAAGGUUGCAGAAAGAGUAGGAAGAUGGGGUUUCACCUAUGUAUACACACUAUAUAUAUAAGAGGAGGGGGGUUGGGGGGGUGGGGGGUGGGGGAGGGGGCGGGGAGAGAGAGAGAGAGAGCAGAAGAAGAGCAACUCCGCUGUUGUUGUAUGUAAAUGAUAAAAUCUCAUUUAUACGUCUCCUUUGUAACUUGAAUAUAUACUCUCUCAACCAAUUUAUACAACAACAAACGUGUAAGAUUGGUUCCUGGAGCAAUUUCGGAUAUCGAAUUCUAUUAUAUAUUUGCAGGGGUUCCACCUCCAUCUCAUAGAGAUUAUCAUCACCUGUUGUUUCUGUGAAUAAUGUAAUUUCUUACCGUCCCUUGUCCAAAACAUUUGUAAUAUUGUGCCAAUUAUAUUAUAUAUUUGCAGGAUGCAUAGCAAUUUGGUGUCAGUAAAACUUUGUCUGCCGCAUAUUUGAUCAUGUUUUAACUUCGGAAUUUCAUGGUCUAGUUAAUUUUGACGGAUUUUGAAAGGCUUUUAAAACAAAUUAGAAUCAAACUUUCGAAUUUACUACCCCAAACAAAUUGCACUGCAAAUUACCAUAAUCAGAAUUCAUCAGGUCAUGUACGUACUACAUAACAUUUACUUAGGAUAUGAAAUGGUGAGAUCGAUAAAUUCGAAAUCAUCAUUAUAUUGUUGUUCUUAUUACAUUAAUAUAUAUAUAUAUGUAGCCACUAUAUAUACCUAUUAGAGUGAAUACGAUACCAAUGCCCCACAAUUUGUUGUCCUGACACAAUCGACCGGAUUCGCUGCGUUGUAGUCAAAACAGAUGACGACUUCCAGCAGAUACGCGAUCCGCCGGUCAUACUUGCACAUAAGAAGAGGUGUUUUCCCUCCUAUAGUCCGUUGAACGGCCGAUUCAAGGUCGAUGUAAUGAUAUUGAUAUCCUGGUACAAUCCCAGUUGUUUGAGAAAAUAGAUAUUGUGCAUUGUAGGUCAACCAUAAUCUAUAAGCUUCGUGGAAGUAUUGUGUCUGGGAAAAUUUAUUGUCCGAGCACCUGCCGUGCUUGUUGUACUCAUGCGCCCAGAAAUCCAUAUUUGUCCGUCUAAU
rnacentral:lncRNA from 1 species